rnacentral:lncRNA from 10 species
AUCGUGCUGAGGCGGGUGGCAUGGCGGAGAAGGAUGACACCGGAGUUUGACGAAGAGGUGGUUUUUGAGGCAGCAGAGCCCUUGCUAGAAGCCAGUGGCAUGCUCUUGAACUUCCCAGCCUGCAGAACUAUGAGCUAAAAUUCUCCACUUUACCAAUACUUACAGGAUCUGGGACACACAGACUUUGAAAUAUGUUCUUCUUUGUCACCAAAAACAGAAAAAUGCACAACAGAGGGACAACAAAAGCCUCCUACAAGAGUCCUACCAAAACAAGGUAUCCUGUUAAAAGUGGCUGAAACCAUCAAAAGUUGGAUUUUUUUUUCUCAGUGCAAUAAGAAAGAUGACUUACUUCACAAGUUGGAUAUUGGAUUCCGACUCGACUCAUUACAUACCAUCCUGCAACAGGAAGUCCUGUUACAAGAGGAUGUGGAGCUGAUUGAGCUACUUGAUCCCAGUAUCCUGUCUGCAGGGCAAUCUCAACAACAGGAAAAUGGACACCUUCCAACACUUUGCUCCCUGGCAACCCCUAAUAUUUGGGAUCUCUCAAUGCUAUUUGCCUUCAUU